rnacentral:rRNA from 1 species
ACAACGACUCUCGGCAACGGAUAUCUCGGCUCUCGCAUCGAUGAAGAACGUAGCGAAAUGCGAUACUUGGUGUGAAUUGCAGAAUCCCGUGAACCAUCGAGUCUUUGAACGCAAGUUGCGCCCGAAGGCUUUUGGCCGGAGGGCACGCCUGCCUGGGUGUCACGC